AGAAGCUGGUUUCAAUUUAUUACAAUGUAUUUUUCAGGAGACUUGUGCAAGCUGAUUGGAUUUAUGCUGUUUGAGAUUUCUCACCUUUCGACUUCACAACUGGCCACAUCUUGCCAGGCUGGUGAUGAUGGAGUGCAGCAUCUCUGAAAUACAAGUCUAUAAAGAAGCACCAUUUUAACAGGCCACAAAGGUACACAGGAAUAGCAACUUGUGGUUGUUCUUACUGUUUCACAGAUUAAAGGCAAACAGAGCCAAGGAAUGUCCUUUGUACAAUAGUUACCUAGUAAAACUCUGCUUCARCUACAAACURCAGUACUGAAGAUAAGCAGCACCUACAAAGACAGGUGCAGGCACCCACGCUCCUCCGCUUGCACUCGGAGCUGGCUGGGCACAAGCCGCCUGCAAUCUGGGAGCCACAGAUUUGUACUGCAAAACGGCAUCGAAGGCAGUGCCUGCCACCGCUCAGCCAAGGAGGCACGCACRGGCCACCACAGCCACCUUCCCUCUGACCUCUGCUUUUGCCUUUGCAGCCCCUUUCUCCAAUAUGACCCUACAAAUUACUUGCAGGAAUAUUAAUGCRGUGUGAAUGUGCUGUGUGUUAUGGAGAACUUUGUGUCUCUGACCCUUAGCUUCCUCAAUCGUAAAAUGAAAAUGUUUCCCUGUUGCAUAAGCAUCUUGUGAGACAACUGGUAUUUGUGAAGCUGUCAGAAGCCAGGGUGGAGGAAACCUUCCUCAGAAGUGCUCGAUAUCUUUAGCUCAAUGUUACAUUAUAUGUUCUCUGUGCAGUCUGAGCAACAGCAUUGCGACCACAUCUAUUUUUUGCUUGGAAAAAAAAUUGGCAGGAAAAACUGAGAAGCUUAUUUACAAAAAUGCUCAUGGUACUGUGUAAGAUGUUCUUCAUUCUCAUUUUCUCUGUAAAAGCUGAAAUUCUAUUCUCUAAGAAAUGAAUUCAGAAUGACGUCACAUGUUGGCAGGAAAACUUAUCGGCCUCUCUUCCCACUAUGCACUGGCAGUGGAACUGGCACAUCUGUUGGUGUUUUGGUCGAAACAUUUGUCAUCCCAGUUAUUUGCACAAUAUAAAUGUGUGUUAACUAUGAUUUUGGUUUGUGUCUAACAAACAAGUGUACAAUUUGGGGUCUGCUGUCAGUAUGUAGGAUUAUGUCAGAGAAAGAAGUGGCAAAAAUAAAUGAUUCUCCUUUGUAACA
rnacentral:lncRNA from 1 species